rnacentral:rRNA from 1 species
GAUGAACGCUAGCUACAGGCUUAACACAUGCAAGUCGAGGGGAAACGAUAGAGAAAGCUUGCUUUUCUAGGCGUCGACCGGCGCACGGGUGAGUAACGCGUAUCCAACCUGCCCACCACUUGGGAUAACCUUGCGAAAGUAAGACUAAUACCCAAUGACGUCUCUAGAAGACAUCUGAAAGGGAUUAAAGAUUUAUCGGUGAUGGAUGGGGAUGCGUCUGAUUAGCUUGUUGGCGGGGUAACGGCCCACCAAGGCGACGAUCAGUAGGGGUUCUGAGAGGAAGGUCCCCCACAUUGGAACUGAGACACGGUCCAAACUCCUACGGGAGGCAGCAGUGAGGAAUAUUGGUCAAUGGGCGAGAGCCUGAACCAGCCAAGUAGCGUGCAGGAUGACGGCCCUAUGGGUUGUAAACUGCUUUUAUAAGGGAAUAAAGUGAGCCUCGUGAGGCUUUUUGCAUGUACCUUAUGAAUAAGGACCGGCUAAUUCCGUG